CACAAAGCUUCAAGGUUAUUAAAGUGUUGAUUCGCGAAAUUUACUCCAUGUUAAUGUGGAAAUGCUGUAUGAGUUUUUGGCAAAUAACGUAAAUUUAAACGAACCUCAGAGCAGUGGCGAAGUAGUAAAGUCCCGAAUUUCGGACGACGGCGCGUCGCAGGUCUGAGAGACGCUACCGCCGACCGGGUCACCGACCUCGGCGUCUGCGUCGCCAAUUACUUCGCCAUUGCCCGCAUCCUCGUCCCCGCUAAAGGUCUCCAGCAGCACGUCGUCGUUACUGGGGGUCUGUUGAAAAAGGAACCACGAAAACGACUUAAAAUAAUGAAGAAUUAAACGGCAGUGGAGCGCUGAAGAAUCUGGUUCAAACAAAAUCUCAAAAACGUUCAAAAAAUUCGAAAAUGUUCGAUUUGACAGCUGAAUGAAAGAAAACAUUGCGUCACGACUCAACACAGAAAAAAUCCCAAGGAGGAACAAAAGGACCAACCAGAGAAAAGCAAGCAACUCACCAAAGACCCAUCGUCGGGAGACGAAUCUCUUCCUCUGUCGCAUCGCACUACCGAAACACCGCAAAGGUAGACGGUGCCGAAGAACAGCAAUUUUGAGAUGCGCAGCCGCAACUGCGCGAGUUCCGGAUCCAGAGAUUUCGACGCGAAUGUUGUCUCUCUUUCGUUGAACAU